rnacentral:rRNA from 1 species
UACAGAGGUGGCAAGCGUUGUUCGGAAUUACUGGGCGUAAAGGGCGCGUAGGCGGCCUACUAAGUCAGACGUGAAAUCCCCCGGCUUAACCUGGGAACUGCGUCUGAUACUGGAAGGCUUGAGGAUGGGAGAGGGAUGUAGAAUUCCAGGUGUAGCGGUGAAAUGCGUAGAUAUCUGGAGGAAUACCGGUGGCGAAGGCGGCAUCCUGGACCAUUACCGACGCUCAGGCGCGACAGCGUGGGGAGCAAACAGG